AUUGAACGCUGGCGGCAUGGCUAAUGCAUGCAAGUCGAACGAAAGCCCUUCGGGGCGAAAGUGGCGAAAGGGCGAGUAAUACGAUCGAACGUACCCCAAGGUGGAGGAUAGUGUCGGGAAACUGACGGUAAUACUCCAUGUGCUCUUCGGAGGAAAGCUUUGGCGCCUCGGGAGCGGCGAUCGUCCUAUCAGGGUAGUUGGUGAGGUAAUGGCUCACCAAGCCGAAGACGGGUAGCGGGGUGUGAGAGCAUGACCCGCCGCAUCGGGACUGAGACACUGCCCGGACUCCUACGGGAGGCUGCAGCGACGAAUCUUCCGCAAUGGGCGCAAGCCUGACGGAGCAAUGCCGCGUGUGGGACGAAGCGUCUUCGACGUGUAAACCACUGUCAGAAUCUAGGACACUGACCAGAUUCAAAGGAAGGGCCGGCUAACCUCGUG
rnacentral:rRNA from 1 species